rnacentral:ncRNA from 1 species
UACGGGGGUGCCUUUGCAGGCUGAGAUCACACCCUUAGAACUUGAACCGGAUCAUACCGGCGUAAGGAGAUA